ensembl:snoRNA small nucleolar RNA SNORA64/SNORA10 family
CUUCUCUCAGCUCCGCUUAAUCAUACUCGGUGUGUGGUUGGCGUGUUUUCAGAGAGAGAGAGAGGAAGGCUCUCCUAAUGCACGGCAGACCAGCCCCAAGUGGCCUCUCUGUUCCUAGGAGUGCAACAGUG